rnacentral:rRNA from 1 species
GAUGAACGCUGGCGGCGUGCCUAAUACAUGCAAGUCGAGCGAACAGACGAGGAGCUGUCUCCUCUGACUUUAGCGGCGGACGGGUGAGGAACACGUGGAUAACCUACCUAUAAGACUGGGAUAACUUCGGGAAACCGGAGCUAAUACGGGAUAAUAUAUUGAACCGCAUGGUUCAAUAGUGAAAUACGGUUUUGCUGUCACUUAUAGAUGGAUCCGCGCCGCAUUAGCUAGUUGGUAAGGUAACUGCUUACCAAGGCAACGAUGCGUAGCCGACCUGAGGGGGUCGUCGGCUACCCUGGAACUGAGACACGGUCCCGACUCCUACGCGAGGCCGCAGUACGGACUCUUCCGCGAUGGGCGAAAGCUUGACGGAGCAACACCGCGUGAGUGAUGAAGCUCUCAGGCUCGUAGAACUCUGUUAUUCGGAAAGUACAAAUGUGUAAGUAACUAUGCACGUCUUGACGGUACCUAAUCAGAAAGCCCCGGCUAACUACGUG